GAUGAACGCUGGCGGCGUGCCUAAUACAUGCCAGUCGAGCGAACGGACGAGAAGCUUGCUUUUCUGAUGUUAGCGGCGGACGGGUGAGUAACACGUGGAUAACCUACCUAUAAGACUGGGAUAACUUCGGGAAACCGGAGCUAAUACCGGAUAAUAUUUUGAACCGCAUGGUUCAAAAGUGAAAGACGGUCCUGCUGUCACUUAUAGAUGGAUCCGCGCUGCAUUAGCUAGUUGGUAAGGUAACGGCUUACCAGGGCAACGAUGCAUAGCCGACCUGAGAGGGUGAUCGGCCACACUGGAACUGAGACACGGUCCAGACUCCUACGGGAGGCAGCAGUAGGGAAUCUUCCGCAAUGGGCGAAAGCCUGACGGAGCAACGCCGCGUGAGUGAUGAAGGUCUUCGGAUCGUAAAACUCUGUUAUUAGGGAAGAACAUAUGUGUAAGUAACUGUGCACAUCUUGACGGUACCUAAUCAGAAAGCCACGGCUAACUACGUG
rnacentral:rRNA from 1 species